GCGCUUGUAGCUCAGUUGGAAUAGAGCGUCUGACUACGGAUCAGAAGGCCGGGGGUUCGAGUCCCUCCAAGCGCGCCA
rnacentral:tRNA from 1 species